rnacentral:misc_RNA from 1 species
AUAUAUCAAUCUCUUCGGCUUUGCUUGUUGAGUGUUGGAUGUGGGGGUUAUUGCUGGCCUCUCUUUGAGGUCAGCUCCUCUAAAAUAUAUUAGCGGGACAAUUUGUUGAUCGUUCAUUGGUGUGAUAACUAUCUACGCUAUUGACGUGAGGCAGGUUCAGCUUCUAACGGUCCAUUGACUUGGACAAAUCUUUCAUUA